UACGGGGGGGAGCAAGCGUUGUUCGGAUUUACUGGGCGUAAAGGGCGCGUAGGCGGCGUGACAAGUCACUUGUGAAAUCUCCGGGCUUAACCCGGAACGGUCAAGUGAUACUGUCGUGCUAGAGUACAGAAGGGGCAACUGGAAUUCUCGGUGUAGCGGUGAAAUGCGUAGAUAUCGAGAGGAACACCUGCGGCGAAGGCGGGUUGCUGGGCUGAUACUGACGCUGAGGCGCGAAAGCCAGGGGAGCGAACGGGG
rnacentral:rRNA from 1 species